GCUGCCAUCGUCUAGUGGACUAGGACAUCGCUCUCUCAAGGCGAAGGCCAUGGGUUCGAAUCCCAUUGGCAGCA
rnacentral:tRNA from 1 species